CUAUGUUUGAUGAAAUAACACCUGAGUGUGAGACUCAUGGUGUGCCUGGCUCCCUGCUGGGAAAGGUCUGCUCCCAUCGGGCGGUACGGAGAAGCUGCUGAUGGUGUGUUUGACAAGGAAGCAACAGGAAGGAGAUGAGUGGAGGACGCCGGCGACACGACGUCGCGAUCGCCCUCGUUGGAACUGAACGACUCGGAGUGGUUCCUCCUCAUCAGCGCCACGCCGUCGCCCUGGCCCGCCAUCAUGUGUCUCAAGGUGUCGUUCAAGUACCGGUUCAGCAAGCUGCUCUUGUACUUGGACGGGGGAGAGGCGCUGUCGUCGCCGGCGGCCAUGCUUGUCCCUUUUGAGUCACUGGAGCCAAUCUUAGCUGCAUUCGGGUGGAAGGUGGGAUACACCCUGGACAAGUCGCCACUUCAUCAC